rnacentral:rRNA from 1 species
AUGCAUAGCCGACCUGAGAGGGUGAUCGGCCACACUGGAACUGAGACACGGUCCAGACUCCUACGGGAGGCAGCAGUAGGGAAUCUUCCGCAAUGGGCGAAAGCCUGACGGAGCAACGCCGCGUGAGUGAUGAAGGUCUUCGGAUCGUAAAACUCUGUUAUUAGGGAAGAACAUAUGUGUAAGUAACUGUGCACAUCUUGACGGUACCUAAUCAGAAAGCCACGGCUAACUACGUGCCAGCAGCCGCGGUAAUACGUAGGUGGCAAGCGUUAUCCGGAAUUAUUGGGCGUAAAGCGCGCGUAGGCGGUUUUUUAAGUCUGAUGUGAAAGCCCACGGCUCAACCGUGGAGGGUCAUUGGAAACUGGAAAACUUGAGUGCAGAAGAGGAAAGUGGAAUUCCAUGUGUAGCGGUGAAAUGCGCAGAGAUAUGGAGGAACACCAGUGGCGAAGGCGACUUUCUGGUCUGUAACUGAC